GACGAACGCUGGCGGCGUGCUUAACACAUGCAAGUCGAACGGGCCUGUCUUCUUUUUUGGGGGGUGGGUUGAGUGGCGAACGGGUGAGUAUAACGUGAGUAACCUGCCCUUCGGUCCUGGAUAACCGCUUGAAAGGGCGGCUAAUACGGGGUGGUCCGGUUGGUCCGCAUGGGCUGGUCGGGAUAGAUUCACUGUUUUUGGUGUUUCGGCGGGGGAUGGGCUCGCGGCAUAUCCGCUUGUGGGUGGGGUGAUGGCCUACCAAGGCGGUGACGGGUAGCCGGCCGGAGAGGGUGGGCGGCCACACUUGGACUGAGAUUCGGCCCAGGCGCCUGGGGGAGGCAGGAGGGGGGGGUAUUGCACAAUGGGCGGAAGCCUGAUGCAGCGACGUCGCGUGAGGGAUGGAGGCCUUCGGGUUGUGAACCUCUGUUUCCGGUGGUGAAGGCCCUGUCCGUGUGGUGGGGUUGACGGUAGCCGGGGAUGAAGCGCCGGCUAACUACGUG
rnacentral:rRNA from 1 species